rnacentral:lncRNA from 1 species
ACUGCGAUCGUAGAGGUGAGGUUGUUACAUACCGCUCAGGGGAGUUUAUUUGAUCAAUACAAAUACGAACCAAAAUCUUGUACAUGAUACAAGUAUUAACUUGAGGGUGGAUUUUUUUUGCACCUUCAUGAAAUUUUUCAUACAAGUAUUUACAUAGAAUGACAGCAGCAUCGAAAAUGAAUAUUCUCUUUAAAAAAAAAAAUGGCACAGGUGCAUGCAACUUGACCUUUAGAUUGACUCGGGGAAAGGCCAGGGGAGCACAACAGGAUGCUAAAUUGCUAGGGUGGAGUAGACUUUAGCCAGGAAAAAAGUGAUAAGCUGACUCCAUUCCCUCUCAAAGACUCUAAGCUGGUGGAGCUACCCUCCCAUCAUGCCAACCUAGGGGCAGAUUCCCUCAUCAGCGUUUGAGUUCGCUUCACACGUUCUUCUCGGCCU